GACGAACGCUGGCGGCGUGCUUAACACAUGCAAGUCGAACGGAAAGGCCCUGCUUGCAGGGUACUCGAGUGGCGAACGGGUGAGUAACACGUGGGUGAUCUGCCCUGCACUUCGGGAUAAGCCUGGGAAACUGAGUCUAAUACCGGAUAGGAGCCAUUUUUAGUGUGAUGGUUGGAAAGUUUUUUCGGUGUAGGAUGAGCUCGCGGCCUAUCAGCUUGUUGGUGGGGUAAUGGCCUACCAAGGCGGCGACGGGUAGCCGGCCUGAGAGGGUGGACGGCCACAUUGGGACUGAGAUACGGCCCAGACGCCUACGGGAGGCAGCAGUGGGGAAUAUUGCACAAUGGGCGCAAGCCUGAUGCAGCGACGCCGCGGGGGUGAUGACGGCCUUCGGGUUGUAAACUCCUUUCGCUAGGGACGAAGCUUUUUGUGACGGUACCUAGAGAAGAAGCACCGGCUAACUACGUG
rnacentral:rRNA from 1 species